UACAGAGGUCUCAAGCGUUGUUCGGAUUUACUGGGCGUAAAGGGUGCGUAGGUGGCGAGGUAAGUUCGAUGUGAAAUCUCCGAGCUCAACUCGGAAAUGGCAUUGAAUACUAUCCCGCUUGAGGGUCGGAGGGGAGACUGGAAUUCUCGGUGUAGCAGUGAAAUGCGUAGAUAUCGAGAGGAACACCAGUGGCGAAGGCGAGUCUCUGGACGACUCCUGACACUGAGGCACGAAAGCUGGGGGAGCAAACAGG
rnacentral:rRNA from 1 species